rnacentral:tRNA from 1 species
AAAUAAGUAAGCUAAAUUAAAGCUUUUAGGCCCAUACCCUAAAUAUAAAAUUAUAAAUAUUUUCUUAUUUA